CAGCCGCCGCGGUAAUACGGAGGGUGCAAGCGUUAAUCGGAAUUACUGGGCGUAAAGCGCACGCAGGCGGUCUGACAAGUCAGAUGUGAAAUCCCCGGGCUUAACCUGGGAACUGCAUUUGAAACUGUCAGGCUGGAGUCUUGUAGAGGGGGGUGGAAUUCCAGGUGUAGCGGUGAAAUGCGUAGAGAUCUGGAGGAAUACCGGUGGCGAAGGCGGCCCCCUGGACAAAGACUGACGCUCAGGUGCGAAAGCGUGGGGAGCAAACAGGAUUAGAGACCCGAGUAGUCCCUGUCUCUUAUAC
rnacentral:rRNA from 1 species